rnacentral:rRNA from 1 species
AUUGAACGCUGGCGGCAGGCUUAACACAUGCAAGUCGAACGAGUGGCGGACGGGUGAGUAAUGCCUGGGAAUCUAGCUUAUGGAGGGGGAUAACUACGGGAACCUGUAGCUAAUACCGCGUACCAUAGGAUGAGCCCAAGUGGGAUUAGGUAGUUGGUGAGGUAAAGGCUCACCAAGCCGACGAUCGCUAGCUGGUCUGAGAGGAUGACCAGCCACACGGGAACUGAGACACGGCCCAGACUCCUACGGGAGGCAGCAGUGGGGAAGAUUGCACAAUGGGGGCAACCCUGACGCAGCCAUGCCGCGUGAAUGAAGAAGGCCUUCGGGUUGUAAAGUACUUUCAGUCGGGAGGCGUUACCGACAGAAGAAGCACCGGCUAACGCCGUGCCAGCAGCCGCGGUAAUUC